UACGUAGGGUGCAAGCGUUGUCCGGAAUUAUUGGGCGUAAAGAGCUCGUAGGCGGUUUGUUGCGUCGGCUGUGAAAUCCCGAGGCUCAACCUCGGGUCUGCAGUCGAUACGAGCAAACUAGAGUGUUGCAGGGGAGACUGGAAUUCCUGGUGUAGCGGUGAAAUGCGCAGAUAUCAGGAAGAACACCCGUGGCUAAGGCGGCUCUCUGGGCUGACACUGGACGCUCAGGCACGAAAGCGUGGGGAGCAAACAGG
rnacentral:rRNA from 1 species